AACAAGGCAAACCCUUAGUUUCUGUGUCCAACUUUGACUGUCCGUUUUAUAUGAAAUUUUUUUAUAAUUCGUAUUUUCAUUGUUGUUAGAUGAUAAAACAUGAUUAAUAUUUUAUGCGUGACUUGUCUUUUUAAUUUUUUUAUAAUUUUUUUAAAUAAGACGGAUGAUCAAAUGUUGGGCACGGAAACUAGGGUUUGUCUUUUU
rfam:Oryza nivara chromosome 4, whole genome shotgun sequence.